AUUCCCUAGUAACGGCGAGUGAAGAGGGAAGAGCCCAAGAUUGAAAGCUGGCGUCUUCGGCGUCCGCAUUGUAAUCUCAAGAAGUGUUUUCCGCUUCGGACCAAGCCUAAGUCCCCUGGAAAGGGGCAUCAUAGAGGGUGAUAAUCCCGUACAUGGCUUGGAGCGCCCGAGGCUUUGUGAUACGCUUUCUAAGAGUCGAGUUGUUUGGGAAUGCAGCUCAAAAUGGGUGGUAAAUGCCAUCUAAGGCUAAAUAUUGGGGAGAGACCGAUAGCGAACAAGUACAGUGAUGGAAAGAUGAAAAGAACUUUGAAAAGAGAGUUAAACAGUACGUGAAAUUGCCAAAAGGGAAGGGUAGGAGGUCAGAGAUGCGGCCUGGGAUUCAGCCUUGCUUUUGCUUGGUGUUUUUCCCAGAUUGCAGGCCAACGUCGGUUUUGGGCACUGGAGAAGGGUAGGAGGAACGUGGCACCCCUCGGGGUGUGUUAUAGCCUCCUACUGGAUACAGCGACCGAGACCGAGGACAGCAGCGUACUCGCAAGAGCGGGCCUUCGGGCACCUUUACGCUUAGGGCGUUGGCAUAAUGGCCCUCUACCACCCGUCUUGAACCACGGACCAA
rnacentral:rRNA from 1 species